UAGAAACAAGUUUUUUAUUUAAAAUUCAUUGUUAAAAAGCAUAAGAGAUAUUUCCUCACCUUAAUGAAAUAAAUAAAAAGUAUUUCAACACUAUCGUUCCCCCCAUUUUCAUUUUUUGGGUGAAUUUCAAAAACUUGGCGCUGCUCACGAAAAAAAUAACACAAAGAGCUAAAAACCCUAGACUGAUUCAAUUCUUUACUCUUAACCGCUUCUCCUUCCCAAAAUCUCUAUAUUGAUCUUCUCCUUCCCCGCGCUACACUUCUCCCCCCCUGUUCUUCUCCAUCUCUACGAUGAUCUUCUCUCCUAAUUGUCUCGGUCGGACUUCGAGGUUUCCUUAUACAGUUUGUUGGCGUUUCUUAUGGGGAGGCAAUUAGGAUAUCCCUAUAAUUCAAACUCGUUUCUAGAAGAGUAGUUUCUUUCAAAGGGGUACUCGUGAUUACUGUCUAAUAGAUCAGUUACUAAGCUAUGGAUUUCAGGAAAUAGCCAAGCUCAAAUUGGAGAUUAUGUGUAUGCCCACGGAAUAAGUGCAGCAAUAGAUUCAAACAAGUUUAAGAUUCAAACAAGUUUAAGACUAUCACAUAAAUUGAGGGUGCCAACUAGAGGAAAUUGUUAAUGCACGUGGCUGAAGUGGUUAUUGGAGUGAUCUUUUGGGCACCUAGUGAUGUUGAUCAUCUGAUGCUUAGGAAGCACGAGGACCCGAUAAACAAUCAACACUCGUCACAUAAGUGAGAGAGAGCUGAAGGUAAAAGGAUUUCGCCAGUGCUUGUAAUGCAUCGUUAACGAUGCUGCUCCCAUAUUCUUGGGACAAUACACCGGUGGCUUCAAGUUUUUCUUCCAUGUACUUGAUUAUUUUUUCCUUUUUCUCAAGUUAACUUUCAAAUCAGGAAAACUUGCAACAACAGAGCUAGAGGAAAAACCGACAAAGCUGAUGAAACAACAAAUGUUAUGAAGAAAAUUCAAGGAAAUUAACGUUCUAUUUCUAUCUCAAAGAGAAGUUCUUCGUUUCGAUGAAUGUUGGAUCGUUCUCAUCAUCUACAAACUCAUUCUCUGAUUAUUGUUAGCCCGUUGCAUUGCUUGAUGUUUUGUUGGAAACUAGAUUAGCAAGUGCACAUUUUACUCGUGAAAAACGAGUUUGAUAUAUAUUAGAUGAAUUACUAGGUACAUAUUUGGGUAUAUGUUUAGAACGUGUUUAUAGGGCACAUAUUUUGGAUAUGUAUAGCUUCUUUCAGGUAGACUUUGAUUUUGAUUUUAUAUAAUUAUAUGGAAAGGUAAUCUAAUGUGUAGGCUUUGGAUUGAUCUUCAAUAAAAAGGUUACUUUGUACGGA